UUGACCGGGUGCGAGCGGGUGGGGGACGCCUGGCGGCGGGAGCAGCCCGGAGCAGCUGCGCUGGGGACCGAGAUGUAGUAUAAACGUUAAUGGAUGUCCAGGGCGCGCCGUUCCCAGGCUGCUGGCCAGAGGCACUAGGAAGGCGAGGAUGCACCUUCUCCCCUGCCUUGGAAAGGUUGCUGGAAACUGGUUGGAUGGACAGGAUGGCGAGACCUCUCCAAGUGAUGGUUUUCUUAGACCUGAGGAAUUCCACAGAGGGAGGCUGUGGACAAAGCCACAAGGGCACAGGGAUAGCACGCCCACUGGUGUUGGGAGCUCUGUUACCUGGCAGAGCUCACUUUCACUGCAGCACUGCUCUGCACCACCGGAAGUUUAACCGGGAAUUGGAAACAAGGUUUUGAACGUCUGGAUGGGAAGAACAGCUUCUGGAGUAGGUUGUGCUGACUGAGGAUGUUGCCCUUUCACAUUUCUAAACUUCUACAGAAACACAACAUCCUCUUGAAUGCUCACUUUGAAAAAGAAGACAGUACCCAGAAGUGGAUCUGCCCAGAUAUAACAAGCAAGCUGCCAUCAUGCUGAAAUUAACUUACUGGCUAGGAUGUUUCCACUGACUGGGAUUAAAGUCAAGGGCAGUAGAUUCUCGAUAUUGAUCAACUGGCAUCUUGGUGAGGAUGUAAUUUCUGCAUCGGACUUGCCAUCCAAAGUAUUGAUUCUAGGUAUGCAGUCAUGUUUGAGAAUUUACCAGGAAUUGGCUUGCUUUUUGAAUAUGACUCUUAAGGAAACAAACAAACAAAGAGUAUAUCAUAGUCUUGGCUGGUGAUAUUUUAAAAUUGGAAGGUCCUGAAGUGACUGCUUUUAUUCUAGUGAGAUACAAUUUAUGUUGUAAUUGCCAAAAGACCUGACUCUUCCUAGACUUUGCAAUUCAUCCAGCUGGUACAGAGCAAAUAAGAACCAGAGAACAUAAAUUUUGGGCCUUUAAUUUCUCUGCAUUUUGGCCCAUAUAAAAAAAGGUAAUUUUAUCGAACCCUAUUUUCUUUGAAUUUUUAUGUCCCAAAAUUUUUACCAAAAGGAUAUGAAGUUAAUGUCUUGGACAUUAAUUUCUCCUUAGAAAGUUGAUAAAAGAUUUAUGUUAAAACUUUUCCAACACAAUUGAUCUUGUUACUGACAUUUCUUUGUGUCCAUUGUUAUCGAAGUCAUUGACUUGUGCCAUGUAAUCUCUUUGCCAAUCCUCUGGUAUGUUACAUAAGCAUAAUAAAAAUAUACAUAAGCCUAUCAUAGAUAGCAUAGUAAAAAUGAGUAAUAGAAGAAUGAAAUUUCAUCCCUGAAUGCAGAGUAACACCGAACUACUAAUUCAUUAUAAGGGACGUUGAACUGUUUAAUUUAUUACAAGGAAUUUAGAACCAUUCAUGAGCAAAAAAAUCUCUAUUGUCCUUCUCCUCAAGGAUUCUGGAAGGGCACCAAGUUGGAAGGUAACUUGAUGAAUAUAGGAAGGGCUGUCCUGGCAGAGAGCAGAGAUGUACUCUAAGGUUGUUAGCCUAGCCCUGGUUGCCAUGGGUAGAUGGUUAAACAAAUGACUUAAGAGAACAAGAAUCAAGGGAAGCUGGGUAUGAUGGUGCAAGUCUGAAUCCUAGACACUUGGGAGGCAGGAAGACUGCAAGUUGGAGGACAGUGUGGGCAACUUAAGGAGACUCUGCCUCAAAAUUAAAUAAGAAGGGCUAGGUUUGUAAUUCACUGGCUGUUGUAGUGUAGUCAGGGGUUGUGCAAAGAACAAUUAGAAUCAGGACAUAGAAUUUAUAAUAUUCUUUAUGAUGGUCACCCAAGUUUAACACAAGAAAGGGCAGGAAAUCUAUCCACAACACUAAAGAUCUGGAACAUUCUGCCAAGGACCUGGAUCCCACAGCAAUGUGCUACAUGAGUCCAGAUGAAAACCUAGAGCCCAUGACAAUGCCUCCCAUGAGUCCAACUGGAGGUCUAGAGCCCAUGAGAAGGACUCACACCAGUCAGUUGUACCCAUCCAUAAUGGGAAGGCCCACAGGUCAGCAGUGGAAGCUAGAAAGUCUGUGCCAGUGGGGUGAAGGAGCUAUGUUGGUAGGUUGAGGGUUCUACACUGGAGCCAAGAAGUCACACUCAAAACAAAGACUACGGCUGUCCUGAAAAGCACCACAGCCAUCCUCAGCGACACGGAGGCCCUGAGCUCCUCUGAUGAUAAGAACAGUCAAGUACAUGGCAGGAAGCCAGCAAGACGAGUUUGUCCUGGAGAUUAAAUGGUACACAUCUUCCUUUCCAGAGCUAGGAAAUGAUGCUCGAUGUAAGGACCAAAGCUCCCCCAAAGUGAACCACAGCCACUCUCAACAAGGUUCCAAGCUCCUCAGAUGACAAUGGGUGAACUCACAGUGGGGAAGCUAGUCAUGAUGAGCUCCUACAAGCUCAAAUGGCUCAAAUAGCUCAAACAGCCUCAAUGGCUCAAACAGCAACAUGUAGGAGAACCCACAACGCCUUCCUUCUCCUUCUCCACGUUUCUAUUUAUGCUGGCAACUGUCCUCAGGUGGAACGUCAGCACCAUGCUGAUUUAAUUCAGAUGGUGUUAAGCUGACCAUCAGUUUUUAACCCAUAACACUGGCCAAGCACUUAUAUAGCACAUGUGAGGCUGUGGGUUCAAUCCCCAACACCUUCAAACAACAAAAUGAAACAUAUGUAAAAAGAAACAAACACAAACCAAGGGAAUGUUAGUGGAGGAUAAUUCUUAACCAACCACUGAUCUCUUCUGUAACAGGUAAACAAGUCUCCCCAAAUUUUCUGCAUCAUAAUGGCUAAAGCAUGUGAUUGAUUAAAGACAGGCUAAAGGGACUUGCAGAUGUGAUUAAGUUAAGGCUCCUGAGAAGGGUCCUUUAUCCUGGGUUAUUUGGGGGUCUAAUGUCAUAACAGCGAUCCUGUAAAAGUGACACGAGGGAAGUCAGAGGAAAAGGUAAUGUGGCAACAGAAGCAGAUAUUGGGGUGAAAAGAUUUUGAGAUGGAAGAAUCCACAAGUAAAAAAAUCCUGGUGCCCCCUAGAAACUAAAAAAAAGCAAGAAAAUGUAUUUUUCUCUUACCCUUCAGAAGGAACCAGCCCUGCUAAUACUUUGACAUGGAUAUAGUGAAAUAGAUUCUAGACUUCUGACAUACAAGAAAGUAAUUUUGUGUUAUUUUAAGAAAUUGUGUUUGCGGUAAUUUGUUAGUGGCAAAAUAAGUGACAGAUGUACCCUUCCAUGUGAAGAUACUUCCAUUUAGGGUAUCUCCUGUGUGCUUAAAGUGAUUUAAUCUGCCUAGUAAUAAUAAAUGGAGGACAGUUGGCUUAGUUUCACCCUCUUUCCCUUUUUGAGCCAGUCAGUCCAAGACAACCAUGUUCUAAUUCUUGUAGGCAGGAUGCCACACACCCAUGUCCUGCCCCAGUCACUGCUGGGUAACUUAGUUUAUCCUGUGGUUCAGUAUUGGUAAGCACAGUUGACUUUUAUACUAAGCUAGAUUUUCCAGUAGUUUUUUUAAAAAUUAGAAUAAGGUUAUAUUUAGGCCUUCACAAACCACUUCCGUGUCUUAUUUCUUCCUUCAUUUGCAAAUCAAAUGUGGCAAAAGGGUGAAUUUGAAGACAGUGGAUUGGACAAAAAUGAUAGUCUCCUCUUCCGGCUCCUAAUUUCUAUAAGUAGUGGAAAAAUAAAUGAAGACAAUCACAAUUUCACUGGAAACAAGAGGAAGAAAUUUCUAGGGACCAGACACUGUAAUGAACCCCCGAAUGACAUGGAAUCAGGGGCAGGAGAUAAGCCACAGCUACAACUAGAAUGGUCAGCCAUAUGUGCAAAGUGUAGGAGACACAGUAAAUACAUUCUUUGGCCUUACAGAGGUGGACGAGAACAGAAAAUACUGACAGAUAAGCAAUAGAUGAACUAAUUUGGGUACCACAGUGUGAAGUCUACAUGGAUUGGUUUCUACUUGCCAUUCUGUAUCUGUAACCCCAGAUCAUAGUGAUGGGUAAUACUUGUUUUCAGUCAAAAAUGGGUAGGCCAGAUGUGGUGGCUCACACCUGUAAUUCCAGUACUCAGGAGCCUGAGGCAGGUGAAUUGCCACAAGUUCAAGGCCAUCCUUGGCUAGUUAGUAGGUUCAAAACCAGCCUGAGCCACAUAGUGAGACUCUUUAAAAAAAAAAUGGAGGGGCUGGGGAUUUAGCUCAGCGACAUAAGCGCCUGCCUUGCAAGCAGGCAGUCAUGAGUUCGAUCCCCAGUACCGAUAAAAAAGGAAAAAGACAAAAACAAAAACAAAAACAAAAAACUUGCUAAAAAUGGAAUAGAAGAGUGACAAUAAGAUAAAUAAAGCAGUGCCACUGGCACUCCUGGAGGAGAGGGGGAGUACCUAAAGCAAAAUAUGGGUCACUAAGGUCUGACCAGUGGUACAUUCCAGUCUUUCUGUCAUAGCUUAUAUCUAGGACUUCAUGUGGUCAGUGGGGUUUUUUAGAGGUGGUUGGAUCCAAUGUGUGUGAUGCUAGGAUUCAGGGUGACAAUGUGACAUUGGGAUUAGGGUGUUCCGCCCUGGGUGAAAUACAAAGGCAGGCUUAAUUGUUGCUUCUUUGAUAUUUGCUGGCUUUUGCCUCCCAAGAACUGUUUGUCCUUUGCCAUGCCCGUCUGCCGUGCCACUCUACCUUGGAGCCACCCAACCAUGAACUGAAACUUCUACAAAGUGUAAGCCAGAAUAAAUCUUUCCUCCUUUAAUUUGGCUGUUGAGUAUUUUGUAUCAGAAACAGGAAAAGUAACUAAGACACUUCCUCAACACAGGUAAAGAAAAUGGGUGCAACAUAGAUCUAACAGGACAUUUACACAAUAGAAAUGAGCGAAAAAUAAAAAAUGGUCAAACUUUAAAGAGUGUUAACAUAAAAGAGAGACAGGAAACUCCACAGAUGGUAAACUUCCAUAUGAAAAGAUAGAAUUCAGAGCAAGAAGAUUAGUGAUUUACAGUAAGAAUGAUUUGUUUAUUAAAAUAAUGUGAAAGCAUAAUAUGUAUUAUACAUGUAAAUAAACCAAGCAUUGUAGAAAUUCAGCUGAGUUUUGAAAUGAUCUAAUAGAAGACCUAAAUUAAUUUGCCUUAGAACAAGUUAAUGAACUGGCAGACAGAACUGUAAAAUUCUUCAGAACAGGAUGAUGGGGAAUGGAAUAUGAUUAAAGCAUGUUAUGUGCAUAUAUGAAUCUGCCAACAUGAACUCCAUUAAUCUAUAUCUCUAACAUGCACUAAUAAAAAAAGAUGUGAAAUUAAAAAAGCCUGAAGAACAUAGUUCAAGUGGGAGAGAGAUAGAAUAUUUGAAAGGAAAAUCAAGAUAUAAUACAUGGAAGAUAAAUCCAGAAUUUUGAUUUUUUUUUUUUUUGUCUUUUUCCUUUUUAUCGGUACCAGGGAUAGAACUCACGACUGCCUGCUUGCAAGCAGGCGCUUAUGCUGCUGAGCUAAAUCCCCAGCCCCUUGAGCUAAAUCCCCAGCCCCUCAGAAUUUUGAUUUUUAUCUAGCAAGAUUUCUGAAAGAAUAUAGAGUAAGGAAGAAAAGUAGAGCAUGUACAUAAAUAAUGCAGGGCUGGUUGUAUAGUUCAGUGUCUAGCAUGUAUAAGGACCUGCAUUCAAUCCCCAGAACACCACUACCACCACCACCAACAGAAGCCAAAUUUGAUUCCUCAAAUUUACAGGACCUACCAAGUCCCUGCAAAUAGCAUGACAUUUGUGAGUAAUGAGAAAAGCCUUAAAAUCUCUGAAAGGAACUAAGCAAAAUGCUUGCAAAGGAAAGAAAAUCAAAUUGAUAUCAGACUUCUCAGCAGCAGCAACUUAGACUGUUUCAAAAUUACUUUUUUCUUUUUCUGCUUUUUUUUUUUGCAUUUUAAAUACUUUAUUGGUACAUUUUAGGUAUACAUUAUGACAACAUUCAUUAUAGGAUCAAAAUUAAAAAGUAAAAAAGUGGUCGGGCAUGGUAGCAUAUACCUGUACUCCCAGCACUUGGGAAGCAGAGGCAGGAGGAUUGGACAUGAGUUUAAGGUCAGGCUGGACUACAUAGUGAGUUCGAGGCAGCCUGAAUUACGGGGUGAGACCCAGUCUCAAAACAAAAACAAAAACAAAUCACAGUGGUGUGGAUAUAGCUCAGUGGUAGAGUGUUUGUUGACAUGUGCAAAACUGAGUUUGAUCCCCAGUACGGUGCAAACACACACACACACACACACACACACACACACACACACACACACACAAAAUCCCUGCCCCAAGAAAUCAGUGCAGUGAUACAUUUACAAUUUUGAGAGAUAAUAAUUUUUAAUUUAUUUUUCUCUUAGGUCCAAUCAAAUAGAAGAAAAAGAUGGAAAGGGAUAUUUUUCCUAUCGGAUACCCACUUUUAAUAGGGAGGUUUUUAAAAUUAAAACUGUGAUAUUAGUACAAGGAUAAAUAACUAGACUUUUGAAACAUAGAAUAGAGGGUUCAGAAAUGAAUGAAUGAAAACUUGAUUUGUAUAAGGCUGACAUCUCAGAUCAAUAGGAAAAUGAUGCCUUCUUCCACCAAUGAUGCUGGGACAAUUCAUUGUGUAUUUAGAAUCCUAGCUUGCAUAGGGUCAAAAUAUAAGAAAUUUUUAUUAUUUUAUUUUGACACAUGGUCUCACUAUUUUGCUCAGGCUAGCCUUGAACUUGUAACCCUCCUGUCUCAGCCUACCAAGUAGCUGGGAUUAAAGGCACAUAUCAAACUGAAUGUUGUAUGUACAUUCCUGAUCCAUCUGCUAAUAUCUAAAUAACUGUUCAAGAUAUUAGAUGACAAAUCGAUGACAUGUCAGACUCUGAAAUUUUCUUGACAGUAUCUGUUGGGAGCCGCGGCCGACACUGGUCGCCUUACUUGGCGGACGUAGGGCCUGUGGGUGGGAGUGGAGCCUGAGCUAGAUUGCCCCUCCCAUCGAGUGAGCCAAGUUGGCGCCUGCUUCCUGCCCCCUGAUUGCGCUGGCGACUUGAACAACCCGCUCUGUAAGAUAGUCUGCCUAGCAACAGCUGAUGUUAGCCAGUCAGCCCGCAUCGUGCGCUUUGAACUGAUUGGCUACUGUUGCCCUAUAAAAGUAAAUGCCUCUCCCGCCACGAGGAAGAAGCACAGAGAGGGAUAGAGAAAGUCCACCGGCGAGAAAGGGCUGGUGACAGAGCGGAGGCCUCGCGGGGCCCACGCGGAGACAAAUAAAGACAAGGUUGCACACCGCCAGACUUUGUCGUGUGUCUUUCCUGCCGGCCGGGAGCGACCCCGACAUUUGGUGACCCGCACGGGGACUGAUCAACCCCGAGACACGGCGGUGGUGUGCAACGCUCCAGCGUGGUGCUGCCGGACAGGUGAGUUGGGGAUAAGCCUGGGCUCUGGGUGGCGCGCACCUACAGGGCUUUUAGACUCCCCUCAGGCUCACGCGUAGGUGACGGGUUCUUUAAGUCACACGCGGUGAGUUACAGCCCUUAGAGGUUAAAGAUGGGUAAUUUACCGAGCGCAGAGGCGCAGCCCUUGGUAAAGGCCCUUAGAAAGCUUUUAAAAGCUAGAGACCUCAGGGUAGGUCAAAAAACACUAAAACUAUUCAUAACAGAGGUAGAUAGGGUGGCUCCCUGGUUUUUACCCACAGGGCAUUUAAACCUGCCGUCAUGGGAGAAGUUAAGCGGGGACCUCGCCUCGGCGGAAUUGGGAGGCGAUAUUUCGCCGGCUAUUCGCCCCCUGUGGGAAAUGAUACAUGCGUGCCUUGACUCCUAUGCUGAGUUGCGCCGCGAAUUGUGUGCGUGCGCCGCUCGAAAAAAGCAGAGAGAGGAAAAAGGGCCCCCGAGCGCUCUCUGGCGGGGAGGAGAUAGAGAGCCAUCCGCUCCACCCUGGAGCUCUUCUCCAGAAGCGGCUCCCCGCCGAGAGGCCGCUACAGGAAACCCUCCCUUCUCUCAGCCGGCACAGGAAGUGACGCCCCGUUCCACUCUGUCGCGACCGCCGUCCUAUGACGUUGCGCCGCGGGGCGGACGGUAUUUUCAUGGGCGGCUACUCUGCCAAGCAGGCUGAGAAAAACGCCGGUUGAGGAAACGGGGGGCUGGGGAUUUAGCUCAGCGGCAUAAGCGCCUGCCUUGUAAGCAGGCAAUCGCGAGUUCAAUCCCUGGUACCGAUAAAAAAAAAAAAAAAAAAAAAAAAAACGAAAAAGACCAAAAAUAAAAAAAAAAAAUAAAAAAUAAAAAAUAAAAAGGGGGAGUAAGCCAAGGCCUGCCUCCAAAGGCGCGGUUAUCUAUGGCAUGACAAUGGAUGGGCCCGGAUCCAGUGGUUAGCUGGAACCGAGGCGCGGUUUGUGUUUUUCCGCAGGAACCGGGACGAAAACCACUGUGGGUCCCAGAGAGGUUGACGCGACAAGUCCCUCGACUGAAGAUCAGGCCUGUUCCACCAGGGGCCAACUGCAGACCCAACAACAAGAUGAGCCCUAAAAGAACUGCAGGACAAUCCCUUUUUGGGGGCCUGGAACGGCUUGCUCCCCUAUGUGCUACCCUUGUUAGGCCCUCUAUGCUCCUUGUUCUUGCUCCUGCUUAUAGGACCAUGCUUGCUCCGAUGGGUCACAUCAUUUAUUAAUGGGCGCCUUGCGGCGGCCCGGCGUCAAGUACGCCUGGUUGCCCAUGCGGCCCUGGCAGCAGCCCGUGAUGGGCACAAUGAUCCCCAGGCUUACGCAUGGCUCGCUCGGCUGGCCUACGACCGGGUCUAGGUGUGGCGGGUCUUCCGCAUUCCUUCCCUAUUGACACCACACAGCAGGGUGGGUGAGUCAAUGACGGGUAAGAGCGUGCCUCCCCAGCACGACUCGACCUAAGCCAGGCCCUACCCCAUACUGCACGAAAGCCGCUGGAUUACUAGAAUCUGCCCAGAUCUAGAUGCCUCUCCAAGGGGAUCACACGGAGGGGCAUGAGUGCAUGCCUAUGUGCAUCCAGGUUCCGUCCAGUUCACUCCUGGCCCUGGAAAAAGGACGAGGGUCUCAAGGCCUUGGCGGACCCGGGGCGGCCGACCAGGGUCCAAGCCAAGGGCCUACGGUGGGCCUCAACACAGGGCAUAAGCCUCUGCACUCGAUCCAGGGCGGGCUGCGAUGCAUACAUUCAUUCAAAGUAAAUAAAUUAGGGGGAGAUGUUGGGAGCUGCGGCCGACACCGGUCGCCUUACUUGGCGGACGUAGGGCCUGUGGGUGGGAGCGGAGCCUGAGCUAGAUUGCCCCUCCCAUCGAGUGAGCCAAGUUGGCGCCUGCUUCCUGCCCCCUGAUUGCGCUGGCGACUUGAACAACCCGCUCUGUAAGAUAGUCUGCCUAGCAACAGCUGAUGUUAGCCAGUCAGCCCGCAUCGUGCGCUUUGAACUGAUUGGCUACUGUUGCCCUAUAAAAGUAAAUGCCUCUCCCGCCACGAGGAAGAAGCACAGAGAGGGAUAGAGAAAGUCCACCGGCGAGAAAGGGCUGGUGACAGAGCGGAGGCCUCGCGGGGCCCACGCGGAGACAAAUAAAGACAAGGUUGCACACCACCAGACUUUGUCAUGUGUCUUUCCUGCCGGCCGGGAGCGACCCCGACAAGUAUCCUUAUCCUCUUUAUGGGAAGCCAUUACUAAUGCCUCUUGAUGGAAAUCUUUGUUAGUUGCACUCAUAAUUAUCCUGUUGGUUCUAUUAUUUGGCCCAUGCAUACUUAAUUGUUUCUUUGGCUUUGUAUCCUCCAGACUUAAAGCUGUAUACCUACCCAGGAUGAAAAUUCUUGGUCUAUUGAGGGCCUUUACAUAGACCCUCUGUAGAGUAUUCAUGACUGCCGAUCAACAGCUAUGACCCCUUUCAACCUAAAAAAGCAAGAUUGGUCAUCAUCCAUUGCUCCCUCAUUGCCGUUUGGGCUACUUCUUUUUAGGGGGGAUUGCCAAAAGUUGGGCAAAGUUAGAUAGAAUAUCAUAGGCAAGUCAGAUAGGGCUGGGGCCUUGAAGGAGCCAGAUACCUUGUAACUGUGGGGGAGACAGACACCUCCCACUAUGGGCCAGACCUCAAAACAAAAGAUAAAACAAAUGCAUCUACACCCUAAGUAUAAAUAUCAGAGAUUGAUAUUCUAAAUAGGUGUCAACUCGCCUUGAGGAAGCCAAAAGGUGCGGCUAACCCAACCCCCUACAGGCAAAGGCUCUGUUCUAUAUUCAUGCCCACUUGCUUCACCAUUGGACCCCAACUUAAUCAAUUUUACCUGAGCAAUUAUACUCAUAAUCUUAUUGGUUGACCAUAGUUCUGUCCCACCUCAUGCCUACCUUGUGAUUUCCCAUUUUUCCCCACAGGGGACUUAUGCAAGCACACAUCCUAUAUUAGCUUUUCAUCACUAGAGCAAAAUACCUGACUGCUGCAAUUUAACAGAGGAGAGGUUUAUUGUGGCUCAUGGUUUCAGACCAUGGUCAGCUGUCUCCAAGGCAGAAAUAGCAUGGUGGAAGGGUGUGGCAAAGUGGUGGACACUUGUAAUCCACCCUGGAUUACCAUUCAAGCUGGCCCGGGCUACAUAGUGAGUUUAAGGUCAGCCUGGACUAUACUAAGACCCUCCCUCAAAAGACAAAAACAAAACAAAACAAAACUACAAUUAAUCUAACUCACUCUAACUCAACAUAAGGUCUAGGAUUUUUCUCUAUGGCAUUUACUCUAAAAAAGUCACCACAGGAAGAGUUAACAAGACUUGGACAAAGAUAUUCAAAACAGCAGUGUAAAAGAGGAGAAAUUAAAAACAUACAUUAGCCAUACACAUCAAAGUGAAAAUAGGUAGCUAGACUGGAUUUAAUUAAUAAAAAGACUACUGUGAAAUAACUUAUGAUUAUCCUAUGAUUAAACUUGAGCUGUAAAUUCAGAACAGGGAUGACUUUCAAACAUAUAGUGUUGAAUAAAAACAUCGCUAAAAUUAUUUUCAGUAAGAUACGAUUUAUACAAAGUUUGAGGCAGGGGGCUGGGGAUUUAGCUCAGCGGCAUAAGCGCCUGCCUUGCAAGCAGGCAGUUGUGAGUUCGAUCCCUGGUACUGAUAAAAAUGAAAAAGACCAAAAAAAAAAAAAAAAAAAAAAAAAAAAAACAAA